rnacentral:rRNA from 1 species
AUUGAACGCUGGCGGCGCGCCUCAUACAUGCAAGUCGAACGUGAAGCCCGGAGCUUGCUCCGGGUGGAAAGUGGCGAACGGGUGAGGAACACGUGAGGAACCUGCCCCGAAGACCGGGAUAACACCGGGAAACCGGUGCUAAUACCGGAUGCCCUCAUCGGAUCUCAUGGUCCGAUGAGGAAAUGGAUUCCGCUUCGGGAUGGCCUCGCGGCCUAUCAGCUUGUUGGUGGGGUAACGGCCCACCAAGGCUUCGACGGGUAGCUGGUCUGAGAGGAUGUCCAGCCACACUGGGACUGAGACACGGCCCAGACUCCUACGGGAGGCAGCAGUAGGGAAUCUUGCGCAAUGGGCGAAAGCCUGACGCAGCGACGCCGCGUGCGGGAUGAAGGCCCUCGGGUCGUAAACCGCUUUCAGCAGGGACGAAAUUGACGGUACCUGCAGAAGAAGCCCCGGCCAACUACGUGCCAGCCGCCGCAGUAA